rfam:Escherichia coli str. K-12 substr. MG1655, complete genome.
UUUAGCGUAUUAUCGACACCGGCCCUUUCCGCCGUGUUCGGUAAUAAAAUAACCUGGCUUAUUAGUCCGAAUUCAGACAAAUAUAAAUAAAUCCUGCUCAAAAUUAAAAAUUCUAACCGGUAAAAGAUAUUACUUAAACAUGUAAAUUCACUUUCCUUUAAAAAACAAAAAACCGCCAAAAUCAGGCGGUUUUUUGUUGCUGGUCCGGU